rnacentral:lncRNA from 1 species
GUUCAUCUAAGUCCGGGAUUUACAUAUUGACCAUUAAUGUUAGAUAUACGGCAAGCACAAAUUGGAUGCUCCUGUGGUAAAAUUGGAGACUUAGUAAAUUCAAACAUUGAUGUGUGAAAUCCAAACCCAAUUUUCUGAAUGAAUGAGCCACUCUUCAGCUAAAUCUCUUCUGGGUGGCCCAGUAAACAUGAGGAAGAGAUGCCUGUACCUUCUGGAUGCUCCCGCUGAAAGGCUUCAGGACACCCGAGUUCUUCUUCACAUCAUCAUAAUUGGGGACUCCGCCAAUGAAAAUGUCUGUGUUGCACUUAAUCUGUGUGAAGCCUCCCUGCCAAAAGAUUAAAAACAAAGCAUUGUAUGACUUUAAAACAGAUGUUCAAAAUGAUCAAAUGUGUCUUCAGUUCCCUGUUGGGGAACAAAAUGGUAGACAGAGCCUAGAGACCCAUCAUGACAAUCUGUCUACACAAGGGCUUCACUUUCACAGUGUUUCUCAUUGCUCCUUACCACCUGCCUGAAUGUUGGUGAACGUCUUAAAGUCUCUGAGACUUCAUUUCAUUGUCUGCAAAAUGGGAGUCAUUGUAUCUACCUCAUAGCUAUGUCAUGAUGACUGUGGCAGACUGCACUACCGUUCACAGGUACCCCUCCCCACAGGAAGAUUGCCUCCAACCUGUCGGCUCAGAUGAGCUUGUGUGACUUCUUAUAGCCAAUAAAACAUGAGCAGAAGAGAAAAGAAUCACUUCUGGGCAGAAGCUUUCAGAGCCAGAGAGUAGUUCACCAUGCCCUUUUCUCCUUCCCUCUGUUCCUUCAGCCCAGAUCUCAGAUUACAGCUGCAGCUAACCAUUGGUGGAUAUGUAUCAUGAGUGAGAAAUCCUUACAUUUGAGAGCUCUGGGAAUGAACACACUUUAGGUAAUGUUAAGUUAUUAUUUUCUUUGAUUUACGAUAAAAUAAAUACAAAUAGUAGCAGCUUUGAUCAUUGAUUUAACAAAUAUUAUUAGGCACAUACUACAAUAUGCCCCAGCCACUAUGUUAAGUGCUGGACAAACAGCAGAAAAUAAGAAAGACCCAGUCCUGCCCUGCAGGGGUUUAUGCGAGCAGGGAAUACAGACAAGUAAAAGAGCAGGUGAUAUCAGCACUGGGAAGAACUGUACAGGUGGCUAUGGGUGCACCUGGGUGCCGGACACGGGAGUCUCAUAUCCUACCCUAGACACAGGGAGUAGGGGAGGUGGUCAAGGAAGAGUUAACAUUGUAGAAACUGGAAGACGUUGGGGCUUAGAGGGAAUGUGAGUAUAAGGCACAGGCGAGAGGGGGCCAGAGCAUGCAGAGCCUUACACACCACAUUACGAGCAUGAAUUUUACCCAAAAAGCAAUGAGACUUAAGCAGGAGAGAGAGGUCUGUGCUUUGGAAGAUCAUUGGCCAGAGGGAGGAGAAUGAAUCUGGGGUCAUGUCAAGGGUAGAGAAGACAAGACAGGCGAGUCAUGGAGGAAGAAGCUCUGUUUAUCUUAGGGAGUGCCCCCAUGGCUGGGUCCAGCCAGGUAGCCCAGGGAAAUUUCAAUUAGAUUAAUAGACCAAAAUGCCUUCUGUCAAUAGCCUUCCGGCAGCUUUGAGGGUUCUUCCUUAACUAGGAGGUUAACAAAGAAGUAUAAAGGCUUUCAGGAAUUCUUGUGGCCCAGCAGAAUACUGAACCAGUCAGGAACUGUCACCACAAACCCACAGGCAUCUUUCUCUUGUCAUUGCUCUUACACAAAAGCUAAAAUAAGAUGGAAAGAGGAAAGGAGGAAGGAUGCAGGGUCAAGGAGGUUUCAGAGCAGCUGGCUGCUAGGAAAAAAAAUUGCAUUAUGGCUGUGUCCAGCAGCGGGGCCUCGUGGAGUGAGGAGCAGUUCCUUUUGGCUGCUCAUCAAAAUCGUCAUGCAGCACCCUCCUGCUGACAAGUGGAAGGGCUGCAGCUGCCAUGCCCAAGGGGGACCGCAGGAGAGAAGAAAACAUAUCCCACCAAAGCCAGGCCUGCUCUGCAGUGAGGGGUUUUGUGUCUGGAUCCUAUACUUUGGCUUGGCUGGAAGCAGUUUGCAAAGCUGAGCAAACUUCCAGGCUGGAGUUUCCUGAAAGCCUCAGAAGCACUGCUCUUCCACGUGUCUUGCAUAGUCGGACUCAAGCCCAGGCUUCUGCUGUUUCUCAGAGCUGCCAGCUGAGCAGCCUGGUGGUCAGGUUUAGUCUGCACACAGGCUCUUAGGUGCUUAGGUCCUGGGUUAGCCCCUCAAAGUGUACUCUAACCCCUGCCCUACCUGUCUCUGAGCUCUAAGACCACUGCCCUGUCAGCCACACUUCGAACAUGAUAUGGACAGCUGGGGAGCAGAAUUCCUUGUGGAAAAGACUUGAUGAAGGUUUAGCAUAUGGAGAUCAGGCAUUGGCCUUCCCACUCCUGGUUCACAGUGGACUCAGCAGAAUGUCCCUCCAAUGCACACACCAAAGCCACACCUUCCUGUGGGUUCCUUUUUCUUUAAAACUCCAGUCAGCUCCAUUCACCCACAUGUCGCCAGAGGUAAAAAAGCCAAAAGGGAGAGUGUAGGUGUCACCGUAUUGGUUUCAUGCUCUUUUGCUGAUGUGCAGUGAUAGAAACUCUCAGGUGUGGUUUUCACCUAUGUGUUGUCUCUUAGAUCCUAAUAGUAAAUACUGUGUCCUGAAGAGUAACUUAUUUAUAAUCAUGGACCUUGCCCCUACUUUUGACAAAUGUUCCCAUCCUCAGCUUUUGUUCCUGUUUUACAGAUGUUUGCAACUAAGAUCUAUAGAGAUACAAUUGGAUUUAUAUCAUUAAGCCAACAGACAGCGAGGUGUAUUCUCGUGAGCUUCUAAUUCUGUCCUGGACUAAAGUCGGCUGUUAGAAUGUUCUGGAUUGCACCAGAAGU